rnacentral:misc_RNA from 1 species
UCCGAGUUUCUCUCGGCAGUCUGGCAUGAGUGAUACAACAUGCCACGAGGGUUGCGCUCGUUGCGGGACUUGACCCAACAUCUCACGACACGAGCUGACGACAGCCAUGCAACACCUGCAUACCGGUCCCUUGCGGGAGGACGACGUUUCCGGUUCUUACCACCAGCAUGUCAAACCUGGGUAAGGUUCUUCGCGUUGCGUCGAAUUAAACCACAUGCACCACCGCUUGUGCGGGCCCCCGUCAAUUCCCUUGAGUUUCAACCUUGCGACCGUACUCCCCAGGCGGGAAGCUUAAUGCGUUAGCUGCGCCACCGACAAGUAAACUUGCCAACGGCUAGCUUCCAUCGUUUACGGCGUGGACUAC